AUUGAACGCUGGCGGCAGGCCUAACACAUGCAAGUCGAGCGGUAACAGAGAGUAGCUUGCUACUCUGCUGACGAGCGGCGGACGGGUGAGUAAUGCUUGGGAAUAUGCCUUAUGGUGGGGGACAACAGUUGGAAACGACUGCUAAUACCGCAUGAUGUCUACGGACCAAAGUGGGGGACCUUCGGGCCUCACGCCAUAAGAUUAGCCCAAGUGGGAUUAGCUAGUUGGUGAGGUAAUGGCUCACCAAGGCGACGAUCCCUAGCUGGUUUGAGAGGAUGAUCAGCCACACUGGGACUGAGACACGGCCCAGACUCCUACGGGAGGCAGCAGUGGGGAAUAUUGCACAAUGGGCGCAAGCCUGAUGCAGCCAUGCCGCGUGUGUGAAGAAGGCCUUCGGGUUGUAAAGCACUUUCAGUAAGGAGGAAAGGUUAAGUGUUAAUAGCACUUAGCUGUGACGUUACUUACAGAAGAAGCACCGGCUAACUCCGUGCCAGCAGCCGCGGUAAUACGGAGGGUGCGAGCGUUAAUCGGAAUUACUGGGCGUAAAGCGUACGCAGGCGGUUUGUUAAGCGAGAUGUGAAAGCCCCGGGCUCAACCUGGGAACUGCAUUUCGAACUGGCAAACUAGAGUGUGAUAGAGGGUGGUAGAAUUUCAGGUGUAGCGGUGAAAUGCGUAGAGAUCUGAAGGAAUACCGAUGGCGAAGGCAGCUACCUGGGUCAACACUGACGCUCAUGUACGAAAGCGUGGGGAGCAAACAGG
rnacentral:rRNA from 1 species